CGGAUUUCAAGCGGUAUUCAUCGUCACCGCACAUCACUUGAGCGGAGAAYGAGCGGAGAGUUUUAAGCAGCAGCAACAACAUUGUGACAACAGCAACAUCGUUUGUGUUUGGACAGUUUAAGCAGUUUGUAGUGUGCAGUUUUGGCUUGAGCAAUUUAGAAACCGACAGAAAGCAAUCUGUUUGAGUGAUUUAGCUGCAGUAACAAGCGUCACAGGUCUGUUUUGAGUGGUUUGCUCUUAACAGGUUGCUGCUGCGGAAUUCUUUAAAGUUUAAGUAGCAAGUUUAACAACAGCAAAACAGGUUGUAACAGCAGGUUUCUGUGUCAAUUGGUUUAUGUGUAAUAGCAGCAGCAAAGCAACUCAAACUGUUUUGACAACAAACUCACAAUUGGUUAUCACAAUUGUUGAGUAUUUCCAUUGCCGUCCACGAGGAGGAACUCACAUCGAUUGUUGAUGAUGCUAGUGACACCAUAAACU